rnacentral:rRNA from 1 species
UACAGAGGGUGCGAGCGUUAAUCGGAAUUACUGGGCGUAAAGCGUGCGUAGACGGUUAUUUAAGUCGGGUGUGAAAGCCCCGGGCUCAACCUGGGAAUUGCAUUCGAGACUGAAUAGCUAGGGUACGGUAGAGGGAAGUGGAAUUUCCGGUGUAGCGGUGAAAUGCGUAGAUAUCGGAAGGAACAUCAGUGGCGAAAGCGGCUUACUGGGUCUCUUCUGACGCUGAGGUACGAAAGCUAGGGUAGCGAACGGG